CCUACGGGAGGCAGCAGUGAGGAAUAUUCGUCAAUGGACGAGAGUCUGAACGAGCAAAGUAGCGUGAAGGGUGAAUGCCCUCUGGGUUGUAAACUUCUUUUAUAAAGGAAUAAAACGAGGCACGUGUGCCUUUUUGCAUGUACUUUAUGAAUAAGGAUAGGCUAACUCCGUGACAGCAGCCGCGGUAAUACGGAGGAUCCGAGCGUUAUCCGGAUUUAUUGGGUUUAAAGGGAACGUAGAUGGGUUGUUAAGUCAGUUGUGAAAGUUUUCGGCUCAACCGUAAAAUUGCAAUUGAUACUGGUAGUCUUGAGUACAGUUGAGGUAAGCGGAAUUCGUGGUGUAGCGGUGAAAUGCGUAGAUAUAACGAAGAACCCCGAUUGCGAAGGCAGCUUACUAAACUGUGACUGACAUUGAUGUUCGAAAGUGUGGGUAUCAAACAGGAUUAGAUACCCUAGUAGUC
rnacentral:rRNA from 1 species